rnacentral:rRNA from 1 species
AGGGCACCACCAGGAGUGGAGCCUGCGGCUUAAUUUGACUCAACACGGGAAAACUCCCCCGGCCCGGAAACUGGAAGGAUUGAAAAAUUGAAAGUUCUUUCUUGAUUCAGGGGGGGGGGGUGCAUGGCCCUUCUUAUUGGGGGGAGCAUAUUGGUUGGUUAUCACAAUACCACCAGCCAUUUAACCAAUUAAAUUGUUGGUUUGUAAAAACCACCCACGAAAAAUCUUGAAGGGAGGGGUCGAUUCCUCCGCACGAAAAAAAAAAAAAAAAGGGCUGUGAAGGCCCUAAAAGGCCCGGGGCGCACCCCCCCUUACUAGAAUGGUCAACGUGCAUUCUCUACCUUUCUGCCAAGAGUAGUAAACCCCAGAACCUCCUUUGUAGAGGGAUGGAGAUAUUGAUUCUUAUCCCUGAGAAUGAAAUUUCAGAAGCGCGCUCAUAUCUUUCUUCAUUAAGUCCCCAUGCUUGUACCACCACCCACGCUACUACUAAUGUAUAAUUAAUUCAACGUCCUCCCCAGC